AUCCUUUCAUAGCUCCUGAGCAUGAUGAUUGGGUUUUCAUGCAUGUGUGUGAGAUGUGCCGCCCUGGAACCUUGUUAUGACAUUGGCACAUUACCUGUCCGACC